rnacentral:lncRNA from 1 species
AAGAUGUGGCUUCUCAGGGAGGAUGCUGUGACCUAGGCGGUAAAACCUUACGGUUUUGUGACUUUUUGUAGGUCUGAGAGGCAUUGCUGAAGUAUGUGCGGGCGAACGUCCUGUCACUUGCCUAGAGAUGCUCUCACUAGAGCCUGUGCCUAUCUGGAUCGGCAGGGCAGGCGUCAGCUCCCGCAGUGGAGGGACCCUGAUAAGUACUGCCCCUCCUACAACAAGAGCCCGCAGUCUAGCAGCCCAGUGCUUCUCUCCAGACUGCACUUUGAAAAGGAUGCAGAUUCAUCAGAUCGGAUAAUUUUUCCCAUGCGAUGGGGCUUAGUCCCAUCUUGGUUCAAAGAAAGUGAUCCUUCCAAGCUGCAGUUCAACACUUCCAACUGCCGUAGUGAUACCAUAAUGGAGAAGCAGUCGUUCAAGG